ensembl:snRNA U2 U2 spliceosomal RNA
AUUGAUUGUAAAUAAAUUAUUUAAAAAAAUUUAAAAAAUCUUUUCUUAUCAGUUUAAUAUCUGAUACGAAAUGGAUUUUUCGAACAGGGAGUCGGAAAUGGGGCUUGCUCCGUCCGCUCCACGCAUCGACCCGGUAUUGCAGUACCUCCGGGAACGGUGCAACACUU